CGAAGGGGGCUAGCGUUGCUCGGAAUCACUGGGCGUAAAGCGCACGUAGGCGGCUUUCUAAGUCAGGGGUGAAAUCCUGGAGCUCAACUCCAGAACUGCCUUUGAUACUGGAGAGCUUGAGUCCGGGAGAGGUGAGUGGAACUCCGAGUGUAGAGGUGAAAUUCGUAGAUAUUCGGAAGAACACCAGUGGCGAAGGCGGCUCACUGGCCCGGUACUGACGCUGAGGUGCGAAAGCGUGGGAGCAAACAGGAUUAGAUACCCUGGUAGUCCACGCCGUAAACGAUGGAUGCUAGCCGUUGGCGGGUUUACCCGUCAGUGGCGCAGCUAACGCAUUAAGCAUCCCGCCUCGGGGAGUACGGUCGCAAGAUUA
rnacentral:rRNA from 1 species